GGUUCGAUGGUGUAGUUGGUUAUCACGUCAGUCUAACAUUGUUAGUCCACUGAAGGUCUCCAGUUCAAGUCUGGGUCGAAUCA
rnacentral:tRNA from 3 species